GGAUGUGGGGGCGAUCUGGCUGCAACAUGUAUCAUUCAUCUUAUCUGGCUGGCUAGGUGGGUGUCCCCUUUCUUCCUCAUUGAUCCACGUGUGUCCCUCCCGAAGCUGUGUGCUCAGCCAAAGAGGACAACCACUCCCAUAGAGGAGGACCGUUUCCUCAGUCAAGGGUAUACGAGUAGCUGCACUCCCCCUGCUAGAACCUCCAGACAAGCUCUCAAAAGUCAUGAAUGUGACUAGUUAUCUCCUAGAACAUAUAUAUGCAUUAGAGUUAAAACAUAUAUAUGAAGGCUUUCAUU
rnacentral:snRNA from 1 species